rnacentral:rRNA from 1 species
UACGUAGGGGGCAAGCGUUGUCCGGAAUCAUUGGGCGUAAAGCGCGUGUAGGCGGUCCGGUAAGUCCGCUGUGAAAGUCGGGGGCUUAACCCUCGGAUGCCGGUGGAUACUGUCGGGCUUGAGUACGGAAGAGGCGAGUGGAAUUCCUGGUGUAGCGGUGAAAUGCGCAGAUAUCAGGAGGAACACCAAUUGCGAAGGCAGCUCGCUGGGACGUUACUGACGCUGAGGCACGAAGGCCAGGGGAGCAAACGGG